rnacentral:rRNA from 1 species
CCUACGGGCGGCAGCAGUGGGGAAUAUUGGACAAUGGGCGCAAGCCUGACCCAACAACGCCGCGUGAAGGAAGAAGGCUUUCGGGUUGUAAACUUCUUUUGUCAGGGACGAAGCAAGUGACGGUACCUGCCGAAUAAGCCACGGCUACCUACGUGCCAGCAGCCGCCGUACUACGUAGGAGGCAAGCGUUAACCGGAUUUACUGGGUGUAAAGGGCGUGUUGGCGGGGAAGCAAGUUAGAUGUGAAAACCACGGGCUCAAACUGUGGCCUGCAUUUGAAACUGGUUGUCUUGAGUGCUGGAGAGGCAAGCGGAAUUCCGUGUGUAGCGGUGAAAUGCGUAGAUAUACGGAGGAACACCAGUGGCGAAGGCGGAUUGCUGGACAGUAACUGACGCUGAGGCGCGAAAGCGUGGGGAGCAAACAGGAUUAGAUACCCCAGUAGUC